rnacentral:lncRNA from 1 species
GGUGGGGAUGGAGGGAGGGUGCCCUGGGAGCGCUCCGGGGCGCGUUCCUGGAGAUCGCGCAGGGACCGUCCUGGCGGGCCCCGCGGGACGUGCGUGACGCGCCGCCGCGCUCAGGUUCUUCUAAGAUCUUUGGAGGCCCAAAAAAAGCCCCGUGGUCCAAAAGCAAAACAAAUGACUCACAGAGAAAAAGAUGGCGGAACCAAGGGCAGUUAAAGGUAAAACAGAAGACAAUGGAUC